GGGCCCGCACAAGCGGUGGAGUAUGUGGUUUAAUUCGAUGCAACGCGAAGAACCUUACCAGGGUUUGACAUCCUGCGAAUCUCUUGGAAACGAGAGAGUGCCUUCGGGAGCGCAGUGACAGGUGGUGCAUGGCUGUCGUCAGCUCGUGUCGUGAGAUGUUGGGUUAAGUCCCGCAACGAGCGCAACCCACGUCUUUAGUUGCCAGCAUUUAGUUGGGCACUCUAGAGAGACCGCCGGUGAUAAACCGGAGGAAGGUGUGGAUGACGUCAAGUCAUCAUGCCCCUUACAUCCUGGGCUACACACGUACUACAAUGCUACGGACAAAGAGCAGCAAGUUCGCGAGGACAAG
rnacentral:rRNA from 1 species